rnacentral:lncRNA from 1 species
UUCAUCUCUCUAUCCUACAUCUAUGCCAAGAGUCUGUACCCCAAUGUAUCUCAAAUCCAGUGCUAAGAGUUCCUAGAGCAAGCAAGAUGAGUUUGUGUCAAAUAUACAGGCUUGGUUUCUAAAGAUGGUAUUGAAACACAUGUUUGAAGAAGGGCGCUGAUAAUUUUAUGUAGUUUGGGUAAUGUGACAUCAAGAUGUUAUGCUAUCUUGGUUUGAACAUGGGCAAGAGACUUUGGACUGACAUUCAAUGUCAAAUACAGAGGCUUUGGGCACAGAAAUGUUGUUUGAAGCACAAGUUUGAGAGGAAGCAAUAAAAUUGUGCAGAUAAUGUAAUCAUGGUCUGUACUGAAGAGUAAGAGUUGGGACUCACCCGAG